rnacentral:lncRNA from 1 species
UUCCUACCCUCUUCCCAGCCCUUCCGUGGAGUCCCGCUUCCCCUGGACCGGAGGCUGCCAUCUCCAGUCCUACCCACUCCGACGCUGGCUGGUGCCGGGGGCCGGGACGCUCCGUACGCCGCCCGCCAGGGUGUGGAGCCGCACUGGGGCAAGAUCAGGUGGGACAGCCCAAAGACUCCGGGCCAAGUUCCUGGGGGACUCGGCGGAGAUGGAAGAUGAUUCUCGAAGCUCUCCAUUUCCUUAAUUUUGAGCAGACAGAUGCAUGGACCACUGCAGACAUGACAUGCUUCCUUACCAGCACCCCAUCUUGAGGUAGCUGGGAAGCUGUAUCCACCAAUGGGAAUGUCCUGCAGUUCCCCAGCAGGAAUUUCUGUGUACUAGACUAGAGCUUCAGUGGUUGACCUGAAGAUAGCGUUGGUAUUCCCUGGUUUUUGCUCUUCCAGUUCUUCCAGUGGUUUUGUAUGCACCCAUUCCUGACAUUUAAUUCUCCUCUGCUUGAAAUGCAUUGAGUGUUUUUUGUUUAUUUGUCUGUGUGAUGUUGUGAAAUACAUAUCUGGUAUUCAUCCCAUUUCCUGGCCUGCAACUCCUAAAGUCUUGGGAAUCUCCAGACUCCUGCCUUUUUGUAUGCUAAUGUGACUAACAGCUUCAGAAUAGGGCUGGUCACUGGAAAGACAAAGACAUAAUGGGAGUUGAGACUUUCAGCCCCACCCUCAACUUCUCAGUAGGGCAGAGGGUCAAUGAUCAAUGCUUAAUCAAUCAUGCCUUCCUAAUAAAGCCUCUAUAAAAACCCAAGAGCCGGACGUGGUGGCUCAUGCCUGUAAUCCCAGCACUUUGGGAGGCCAAGGCUGGCGGAUCACUUGACGUCAGGAGAUUGAGACCAGCCUGGCCAACAGGGUGAAAUCCCAUCUCUACUAAAAAUACAAAAAUUGGCCGGGCGCGGUGGCUCACGCCUGUAAUC